rnacentral:rRNA from 1 species
AACGAACGCUGGCGGCAGGCCUAACACAUGCAAGUCGAACGAAGUCUUCGGACUUAGUGGCGCACGGGUGAGUAACGCGUGGGAAUAUACCUUACGCUGGGGGAUAACAUCGGGAAACUGAUGCUAAUACCGCAUACGCCCUUCGGGGGAAAGAUUUAUCGGCGAAAGAUUAGCCCGCGUCCGAUUAGCUAGUUGGUGAGGUAAUGGCUCACCAAGGCUCCGAUCGGUAGCUGGUCUGAGAGGAUGACCAGCCACACUGGGACUGAGACACGGCCCAGACUCCUACGGGAGGCAGCAGUGGGGAAUAUUGGACAAUGGGCGCAAGCCUGAUCCAGCCAUGCCGCGUGAGUGAUGAAGGCCUUAGGGUUGUAAAGCUCUUUCACCCACGACGAUGAUGACGGUAGUGGGAGAAGAAGCCCCGGCUAACUUCGUG